UACGUAGGGUGCGAGCGUUAAUCGGAAUUACUGGGCGUAAAGCGUGCGCAGGCGGUUUUGUAAGCCAGAUGUGAAAUCCCCGGGCUUAACCUGGGAAUGGCAUUUGGGACUGCAAGGCUCGAGUGCGGCAGAGGAGACUGGAAUUCCUGGUGUAGCAGUGAAAUGCGUAGAUAUCGUAAGGAAGACCAGUGGCGAAGGCGGGUCUCUGGACAGGUUCCUGACGCUGAGGCACGAAGGUCAGGGGAGCAAACGGG
rnacentral:rRNA from 1 species